rnacentral:rRNA from 1 species
GACAGAGGAUGCAAGCGUUAUCCGGAAUGAUUGGGCGUAAAGCGUCUGUAGGUGGCUUUUUAAGUCCGCCGUCAAAUCCCAGGGCUCAACCCUGGACAGGCGGUGGAAACUACCAAGCUGGAGUACGGUAGGGGCAGAGGGAAUUUCCGGUGGAGCGGUGAAAUGCGUAGAUAUUGGAAAGACCACCAAUGGCGAAGGCGACUCUACUGGGCCACUACUGACACUGAGAGACGAAAGCUAGGGGAGCAAAUGGG